UUUUUUUUUUAAGAUUUUAUUUAUUUAUUUGACAGAGAGAGAUCACAAGUAGGCAGAGAGGCAGGCAGAGAAAGAGGAGGAAGGAGGCUGACUUCUGAGCAGAGAUCUCGAUGGAGGGCUCGAUGCCAGUACCCUGAGAUCACGACCUGAGACGAAGGCAGAGGCUUUAACCCACUGAGCCACCCAGGCACCCC